rnacentral:lncRNA from 1 species
UCUGGGAGCUGAAGCUCUGGGAAGCUGCUUCCUUUAUGCCCUUCCAGGCUUGGCUCUUCCCUGCCCCAUGCCUCUGCCUCUGUCUUGCAGGGGAAGGGGUGCACUGGGAUUGGUUGUGUGGUUGGGCUGUGGCUUGUUCCCAGGCCUGGGAGAGUUGGGUGGGAGAAGUGCAGAGGGGCCUAAGUGUGGUAGGGUGUGCCCAGGGGGCUGGGGUCUCAUCAUGCCCGUGUGAGUUUUCUUGUUCAGUUUUGGGGACACCACCCUCUCAGACUUCCCCAGCACUCAGCUCAUGCUUGAAGACCUCUUUUUCGGUUCGUGCCACGUGAUGGUGGUGAGGGGGCCCAGAUUUCUCGUGGAGACCCGGGUUGCCUGUUCUCUGUGUUGAGAAGAUAGCUUCCUGGAGACUUUCAUAUGCCACCUGAAAAAGGGUGAUUCUGUACAGGAUACAGCACUUUAGUUUUGAGCAUGGGCCCCUUUUUCCUGAGCCAGCCUAGGAUCUGGGGUCAAACGCCUUUGGGAAAUACGGUGCUGUAAUGUUUUCUCCUGGAAGACUUGGCAGGCUGCCAGGCAGAGACCAGAGGGCAGCACAGGGGCUUUUCUUUGCCAGUUUGCAAAGGUCCCCCAAGACAUGCUGUCUCUCCCCCUCUGUGGCAGGAGUCCCUCUUCCACAGAAGCAUAACGGACCUAGGCUUCUGCAGUGUGAUCCUGGUGAAGGAGGAGAACACCAGGUUUCGGGGCUGGCUGGUUCGGAGGCUCUGCUAUUUCCUGUGGUCCCUGGAGCAGCACAUCCCCCCUGCCAGGAUGCCCCACAGAAGAUCGAGGAAAGCACCGGGUGAGGAGGCAGGGAGUGAGGUCUGGCUGGUAUUUCUGGGAUCCUGAAUGGGAUGACAAUGACAGUAGGUAGGGGUGGUUCAGAGGGCUGGCUGGGGCAAGGCUUCUAGAGCGUGAGCUUUGCCUGGGACCCUUCCUUAAGGAGAAGGGUGAAGAUUGGAGGCCGUUCCCUGCUGCAGCCUCAUAUCACUCCUCCCAACCCCCCCACAGGGUGCAGAACCUCCUCUCAGGAAGGGUCCCAGGAGGCGCUGGCGAAG